CCUACGGGAGGCAGCAGUAGGGAAUCUUUCACAAUGGGCGAAAGCCUGAUGGAGCAACGCCGCGUGCAGGAUGAAGGCCUUCGGGUUGUAAACUGCUUUUAUAAGCGAGAAAUAUGAUGGUAACUUAUGAAUAAGGAUCGGCUAACUACGUGCCAGCAGCCGCGGUCAUACGUAGGAUCCGAGCAUUAUCCGGAGUGACUGGGUGUAAAGAGUUGCGUAGGUGGCAUAAUAAGUAGCUAGUGAAAUCUGGUGGCUCAACCAUUCAGACUAUUAGCUAAACUGUUAAGCUCGAGACCGUUAGGGGUAACUGGAAUUUCUAGUGUAGGAGUGAAAUCCGUAGAUAGUAGAAGGAACACCAAUAGCGUAGGCAGGUUGCUGGGACGGUUCUGACACUAAGGCACGAAAGCGUAGGGAGCAAACGGGAUUAGAUACCCCAGUAGUC
rnacentral:rRNA from 1 species